UGGGGAAUAUUGCACAAUGGGCGCAAGCCUGAUGCAGCAACGCCGCGUGAACGAUGAAGGUCUUCGGAUCGUAAAGUUCUGUUGCAGGGGAAGAUAAUGACGGUACCCUGUGAGGAAGCCCCGGCUAACUACGUGCCAGCAGCCGCGGUAAUACGUAGGGGGCUAGCGUUAUCCGGAUUUACUGGGCGUAAAGGGCAUCUAGGCGGUAAGACAAGUUGAAGGUGAAAACCUGUGGCUCAACCAUAGGCUUGCCUACAAAACUGUUGAACUAGAGUACUGGAAAGGUGGGUGGAACUACACGAGUAGAGGUGAAAUUCGUAGAUAUGUGUAGGAAUGCCGAUGAUGAAGAUAACUCACUGGACAGAAACUGACGCUGAAGUGCGAAAGCUAGGGGAGCAAACAGG
rnacentral:rRNA from 1 species